CACGUAGGGGGCGAGCGUUGUCCGGAAUCAUUGGGCGUAAAGAGCUCGUAGGCGGCUCAGUAAGUCGGGUGUGAAACCCUCAGGCUCAACCUGGGGACGCCACUCGAUACUGCUGUGGCUAGAGUCCAGUAGGGGAGUGUGGAAUUCCCGGUGUAGCGGUGAAAUGCGCAGAUAUCGGGAGGAACACCAGCGGCGAAGGCGGCACUCUGGGCUGGAACUGACGCUGAGGAGCGAAAGCGUGGGCAGCAAACAGG
rnacentral:rRNA from 1 species